rnacentral:lncRNA from 1 species
GUAGUCUUCACCACUGCAUUGAUCGCCUUAUCAGGUAAUAUCCUAUCAGAACCCCUGAAUUAUACAGUAGAGCGAAUCCAUAGAGCAUUAGAGCGGAUGAAUGACGAGUAUUUGAAAUCAGCUCUUGCUUAUCUACGUCAACAACCUGAUCCCACAGUUCUAAGAAGAGGAGCUCACACGUAUAAGUGCCCUAAUUUUAAUAUAGUAUAUUUAGCAAACAUGCCUAUUUAUGAUGCAAAUUUCGGGUGGGGGCCGCCAAUGUUUUCAAGGUUGGUUAAUACAUAUUUCGAAGGGGUAGCGCAUAUUUAUCCAAGUCCAAGCAAUGAUGGGAGCUUGACAGUGUUUAUAAACUUGGAAACCCAUCACGUGCAGCCCUUCAAGAAGUUGUUUUAUGAGAUCUUUCAGCACCCCAAGAAUGCAAGAUCUAGAUAUUGAUAUGUCAGUGAUCAAUCAAUGUGAUAAACCAAGUCUGAGAGAAAAUGAUCAAGGGAUCCCUGGUUCGGGUGACUCAACUAGCUGUUGAUGGCUGUAGAUAUUGUGUGUCUUCGGCUCAUUAUGGUUUUGACCUUCCACUUUUGUCAUCCUUGAUAAAAGUUUUUUUCUUUUUUAAUUUCAUAUUUUGUUAGCUCUUUAAUUAGUAAUAUAUUAUUAGUGAUGUACACAGAAUGAGAUUGUUUUCUUCUUUAAUAUAAUAGCUCACUACGCGAUACCAUUACCAAAAGUUCCUAUAACAACUCGAUCUUCCAGCUACCAUACCCUCAAGAACUUUAGAGUAUGUUGGGAAUAGUCAACUAGCCAAACAAAAACGCUAAAGUCCCUUGCAUUAUAAUUCAGAUGUUAUUAAGAGAUUUUUUUUUUUAAAUUUUCAUGACAUCUUUGAUAUAUUUUAGAAUUUCUCCCAUAUGAAAUUUUAAUUUUUUUUUAAAACAAUUGUUAGAUUCGUUGAAUAGGCAUUGUGUUUAACACUUAUUUAAAAAAAAUCCAAAUAUUAUUCUCGGUAAUGAAAAUGUGACACAUUUACAAACCCAACAACUUUGGAAAAUCAAAAUGAAGUAACGAGUAGAUAGAUAAACAGUAUCAAAGCCGAAGGACCAAAGAAGGAACCUAGCCACUUUACAAAAUGAAAAAAUGAAACUACGUGGAGUCGUAUCAUUAAGCCAAAUAUGCGACAUUAUGCAAUGAUAUUUUAGCCCCUCACAUAGUUACACAAUGGGGCGAGGUACACCAUAAACUUUCUCUAUUAGAAACACCAUAAACUUACAAACAGAAAAAAAAAAAAAAAAAAAAAAAGUUGAUGGUGGAAGAGAGUUCACGACAAAAGAGAAAUAGAGAGAGGUAAGCAAAUGGGAGAGAGAAAGAGAUAUAAACUUAUCAAGAGAAAGAGAAGAUAGGUGCAAACAUUUUAGGUAUUUAUUGAAUAAGAAAUUAGGACUAUUUUUAGAAUUAAAAUAGGGGUAUAAGAACAUUUUAAUUUUUAAAUAAUUUUAAUGGGGCAGAAAGAAGAAAAGGAAUUUCAAGAGUUAUUUGGAGGAUGUCAAUAGUCCAACUCAUGGAGGAUGUCAAUAGUCCAACUCAUGUGAUUAAAUAAAUUGGCCCACUUUCAUUAUUUUGUCACCAAUAUCUGAAAAAAAAAAUUUACAGCAAAAUUUAUUGUUCUUAAUUAGAGAUGGCCAAUGGCCAGGCAACAUGCGGCACGGUACGGACACGGUGCAUGUCGAUACAACACGGCAAGACAUGAGCAUAUUUUGGUAGGGCAUGCAGCACAACAUGACACGUAUGCAUGCUGGGCUGAGUUAAAAAUUCUAGGCACGUGAGCCUUAAAAGUACAGGAUGAUUAAAGACAACAAUUGAUAAUAUAUAUGACAAUCUCCUGAUAAAUUUGGUGUGAGUUAAGAAAGAAAUUGAUCAUCACCAGUUACAUGAGGAAAAACCAAAGAAAAAAUAAAAAAGACAACACUUCUUUGAGCAAAAGUCAUAAACAACUUUACCAUUGAGGAUGCAAGACCCUUUUUUUUUAACUUAAUGAAUUAAUUGACUAAUUUUAAUCAGUUAAGUAUUAAGUUUAUUUGUUUUUUCAACUUAAUGAAAAUUUUCAGUUAUUAAGCUAUUUUUUUAGCUUUUUACUUAAUCUAAAAAGUCUGAAUAACAUCGUUAAAAGAUAUUCUCUAAAAUAUCCUUAUCUAAUUAAUUAAUUUUUAAUCCUUACGUGAAUUAAAUUUAAUAAUUAGCAAUAUUAGCCAUCUCUAUAUAACUUGUGAUAAUAUAUAGUGGUAGAUUAUAAUUAUUUUUUUUUUUAUUUUCUUCACAUUAGCAUUAUUUAUCUUCAUAAUUUUCUAUGAAUAUUUUUCAUUUAAAAACAUCAUAAACUAUAAUAAAAUUGUUUAACAUAUAUAACAUAGAAUAUUAAAGAGUUGCAUUCAAUUGAAUAUGAUUUAUGUUAUUAUAUUUUUUGAGAUGUUUAUUAUUUGCUAACAUUUAUAAUUUAUAAGGGCAUAAAUGUAAAAAAUAUUAGUUUUUAGAUUUUUUAAGAUUAAAAAAAUUAAUAUUUAUUUUUAGCGAUUCAGACAAAAAAAGAAACAUAUCAUUCAGCUUCAGACAUUCAGUUCUAUUCACAAUUUUAACUAAUUUAGAUUUAUUCAGAUUUCAGACAAAAAAAAAAAAAAAAACUACAUGCGUCUAUAGCAAAAACAUAAGAGUCUGUAGUUCAUCCUAUUACAAAUAUUUAAGCCCAAAAUAUUUUACAUAGCACCACAAGUCUAAAUUUCCAAAAAAAAAAAAACACACGUUUCCAAUGUUCCAAAAUGGUGUGCUUACUUGACAAAACACAAUUUCAAUUUCCAAAAUGAUAGAAGAUUACAUCUCAUGAAUCACGACCAAUUUUUGAAAGGAUAUAUCCCUUUUUCCAGCUCAUUGGGCAAGUUGAAGAACCCACGUAGCACAUCAUGUUUGGUGGCCAUAAUAUCAAUCGCAUCAAAUAUUUCUUUCUCACUUAAGCCAACAAUCUUACGCAUUUUAUCAUACAACUUAACUUGUAAAUCAGAUAACUACUUAUUAGUAGUAGAAAGUACACUAAUCAACCCAUCUAAUUUGGGUACCAUGGUUGAAAUGGACUCCGUCGUUGCUCCUAUUUUUGAGCACAUAUUGUGAAAUGUUUUGUCCUUGGUUCUCCUUUCCUUUUUUGGGUGGCUGGAAUUACUUGGAGCACUUUCAUUUUUAUUAGCAGGUGCUUGUGAAUUUGAGAAUAUAGAUAUGCGAAUAGAGAUAAUAUUAACAUUCAAAACCAUUAGAUGAGAAAACAAAGAGUUACGAAGCUAAAUCUACCGAGCCCAUAACAAAUCACACAAGUAAACAAGUAAUUUUCAUUUCUUUAUAAUGGAACCUCUACUAAGUGAGGUGGGAAAAUUUAUUAACUAAAAGAAAGUGAAAAUAGUGCAAGAGAGAAGAAAGAGCAAAUGCUAGCCAUAGCUAAACCAUGAAAAGACAUAUAGGCAAGAACUAAAGAGUUACAAAGCUAAAGCUAUCGAGGCUGGACAUAAACGAAGCCCAUCACAAGUCAUGUAUAAGCAAAUAAGUUAAUAAACUAAGAAAUUAUUACAUUUAAAAUUUAAUAUAAAUAUAAAAUUAUGAUCAUUAUUAGUUUUUUUUUUUUAUUAUAUGAGACUAUUGCUCAAACUACAACUGAUAUUAUAUGAGACUAUAACUGAUAUUUACAAAUCAGACUAUUACUGGAAUCGACUUACAUCAAUGCCUACAGAGCUCUGCCCAGAUUUUAAUCAUCACUAAUAUUCGAGGGAUGUCUACCGACUUACAUCAAUGCCUACGGAGCUUUGCCUAGAUUUUAAUCCACAUUAAUAUUCGAAAGAUGUCUACUCCACUUACUCUUGGAUAAGAGAGAAUAUUACCUUCACUCAUUUAUACAAUAUAAUUAAGGAAGGAAAUACCCCCACAUUGCGCAGGGCGAGUGGCAUGAUAAUUAUUAGUUAAAUAAACUAAGAACUUAUUACAUGAAGUUCCCACUUACCAAGUAUAUCCAGGUUUCUGUUCAAUCAUCUCUAAUUAGAAAACGAAAAUAUUCCACAGUUCUUUAUUUUCUUUUGAAAAAGAAAAUCCUCGUUUUCUUGGUAUUCCUUCAAAUUAAAGUUAAAAUGAUAGAUGAGAGGCAGAUAAUGGAAGGCAAAAGACAGAAGAAAAAGGUUGGUCAUAAUGUGUUAAAACGAAAAAUAUGCUUUUGAGAACAAAUCUACUCAAAUCCCUAACUACUCUUACUCCAACUGAUGUGUGUAAGCAAAUAAUGAUGUGACCUCGAUCAUCUCAAUGACUCUGUAACAACCCUAUAAAUAUAUAUUUUUAUCUAUCCUGCUAGUUUGUACAUGGGAUCAGAACCCUCAAUCAAUGGUAGUUGGCUCAAGAUUUUAAAAGAAGCGGGGAGUUCGGAAUCCUCUCACUUCCAUAUUUUUUGUUUUUUUUUUUGGUUUAAACCACCCGAUUUCCGGCAACUGCAUUGGGCCCCGACUAAUCCGGAUUCGGGGUGUAAUCACAGUUAAGGCUCUUUACCCCUCCCAAAUGGUUUGUUUAGUGGGGAUCGAACUCGAGAACUCUUCCCACUUACCCAGCCUGCGUCGCCAACUGAGCCACAACCGUUUGGUCACUUCCAUAUUUACUUGCUUGUUUAAGAAAGAAAAUAAGAAUCCCUGUUCACAAGUAUUAUUUCAUUUUCUUAAUUUUUUAUUUCUGGUACUUACUUCAUUUUUCUCUAUUCAUUAGGUCUGGAUCCACGAAAUCUGCACCCGGUCCUUUUUUGAAGGGUGGGGUUAUAUGCACUCUAAAAUUUACUUUGGACACUCACAUUUUAAUAAUUAUUUAUAUUACUAAAUUAACCUUAAUGUAAUUUACUAUUAAGGACAAUUUUAAUAAAAUAUAGUAUAACAAAUUUUUGUCCAACAUCAUAUUUUAUUUACAAUAAACCACAUCAACUUUAUAACUGAAACAAAAGGAAUUAAAAAUAGAGGUGGAGGAAGAACAACAAAUUGCACCACUCCAACAUAAGAAAACGCAAGUAAAUCAAAGGAUUUUGUUUUAAAUUUGCUCUCCGAUUUGCAUGCUUUUAUGGGUUUGAAAAACAAUUAAAUUGCGGCAAUAAGAGAAGAACAAAUACAGGGGCGGGUGCAGUAUGUGACCAGUGGGGGUUGUAGCCCUCGCUGGCCAAAAAAAAAAUUCUAAGAAUAAAAGAAAAAAUAUUUAAGAUUUCUAAUUAGUCCCCAAUAAAUCUAUUAAAAUUGACCUUAUACAUUUAUAAAUUCACAAAAUUUAAACUUUAACUUUUAAAAUUAUAAAAGCCUACAUUAUAAUUAAAAAUAAUGAUAGGUCAUCACCACAAAUAUUUUUCUAUUCUUGAAAAUGUGUCAAGAACAAUUAUAAAUAUAUUAAUAAAUAUUUUAUAUAUUCAAAGUUUUAGUUUUAAAAUUUUACUAUUAUGUAAUCUAGGCUUCGGUAAAUUAUUUUUUUAGAUCUGCCACUGAACAAAUACAUAUCAAACCAUAUUAUGAACAGAAAAGAAAAGUGAAUAAAAAUGGAAAAAAAAGUUAGAUAUUUUGUUUGUGAUGAUGAAUAUUUCAUUUGGUAUAAAGAAGAAACAAGGUAAUUAAAGAAAUGAGGACAAUAUAAAAUUUAAAAGAGUGUUACAAAUAAAAACUAACAUUUUUGAGAUUAUUAAUUAAGCGCGCGGACUAAACGAAUGUUUAAAGUAGAUUUUAGCGUUCAAAUAGCCCUACUGUUUUUCUAAUGAUAUGUGCAUUAUUAAAUUUAAAAAAAAGUUGGAUGCAGAUCAUCAGCAUCUGAUAUUUGCCACGUAUUCGGAUCCAUUUUUUAAUUAUAAAAAAAAAAAGACAAAAAUAGAAUUUUUUAUUUUGAAACUGAGACAAAAACAGAGUCAGAGGCGUGUAAGUUUCAUAACCUUUCCUUUUUUUUUUUAAAGAAAAUCCUAAACGCAGCCUGCCGACACAACACACGAAAGCUGCUAGAGCAGAGAAGAUUAACCGCCGUCUGCCGCUGCCGUUCUAAUCAGCCAAGUCGCCACGGCUAGCACAAUGGAAAUUCAUGUACAGAAGUCAACAAUGAUACGGCCUGCCCAAGAAACGCCCAAGCAACGCCUACGAAAUUCUGACUUGGACUUGGUUGCGCCGUCCAAUUACAACCCCCUGGUAUUCUUUUAUCGACGGCCAAAUUAUUCUUCCCCUAAUUUCUUUGAUGCUGGUUUGCUGAAGGAGUCUCUGAAAAAGAUUCUUGUGCCGUUUCGACCCGUGGCUGGAAGGUUGCCGAGUGAUGAAAGUGGCAGAACCGACAUACUAUGUAACGGAGAGGGGGUUUUGUUUGUGGAGGCGGAAACAAGUUGUGUUAUUGAUGAUUUUGGUGACUUCGCCGAAGGCUCCAAGCUUUUGCCGUUGCUUCCAACUUUUGAUGAGACGAAAGAUAAUUCUUCUUAUCCAGUCAUGAUGACACAGGUACGACGAAUAUUUAAUCCCCUGAUCAAUUGAUUCAUGAGACUUGGUUUUAUUAAGUAAUGCUGUGCUGUGUGUGUUGAGUAGGUAACUCGUUUCAAAUGCGGAGGCGUUUGUCUUGCGACUAGAUUUCAUCAUAUUUUAGCAGAUGGAGCUUCAACGCACCAUUUCGUCAACUCAUGGGCUGAGAUGACACGUGGUGUUCCUAUUAGCAUUCUACCUUUCUUUGAUCGAACCGUACUAGAUUUUGGGGUUCCAAAUUCUCCUAGAUUCCAUCACAUUGAAUACGACCCACCUCCUUCAAUGAAUACUCCUACUCAAAAUUCCGAAUCCAUUUGUACCGCAAUCCUGAAUCUGUCACUUGAGCAAAUCAAGAUUCUCAAGGAAAAAUCUAAAGAAAAUCGUGGAUCCACAUUCGAGUACACUAGACUUGAGGUCCUGGCAGCACAUAUUUGGCGAUGCGUAUGUAAAGCACGUGAAUUGUCUGAUGAUCAAGCCAGCAAGUUACACUUUCCUACAAAUGGACGUUCUAAAUUGAAUCCUCCACUCCCAUCCGGGUAUUUCGGAAAUGUAGUCUUCACCACUGCAUUGAUCGCCUUAUCAGGUAAUAUCCUAUCAGAACCCCUGAAUUAUACAGUAGAGCGAAUCCAUAGAGCAUUAGAGCGGAUGAAUGACGAGUAUUUGAAAUCAGCUCUUGCUUAUCUACGUCAACAACCUGAUCCGACAGUUUUAAGAAGAGGAGCUCACACGUAUAAGUGCCCUAAUUUUAAUAUAGUAUAUUUAGCAAACAUGCCUAUUUAUGAUGCAAAUUUCGGGUGGGGGCCGCCAAUGUUUUCAAGGUUGGUUAAUACAUAUUUCGAAGGG